rnacentral:sRNA from 1 species
UUGACAGCUCUGGAGACUGAUGUCCUCAAUUUAUCCAUACAACUAGUACAGGGUAGUCAGCAGCAGUGCAGAUUUCUCUCACGCUGCCCGUAACAAAUUCUUAGAUUAUUCAGAACAAUUAUUAUUGUUGGUUCAAUCAUGCACUCUUUUCUAAGAUUGCCACUG